UCAGACGGAUGUUCUGACCUCUUCUCCCCUCAGAAAGCAGCUGAACAAUGCAGUGAGGAUGGGGGUUCAGAUGUAGUAGAUCAAGAGCAGCGAGCAAGCCGGGGCCAAGAAGCCCUCCUCACCAAAGAAGAAAAAGAAAAGAGUUGCUGACCUCUUCUCCCCUCAGAAAGCAGCUGAACAAUGCAGUGAGGAUGGGGGUUCAGAUGUAGUAGAUCAAGAGCAGGGAGCAAGCCGGGCCAAGAAGCCCUCCUCACCAAAGAAGAAAAAGAAAAGAGAGAGAAAACUGGGGAAAGCUAAGGAGACAACCAGGAUAACAGUGAAGAGACCAUGGUGUGAAGAAGAGAGAAGCGCAGUAAACAAACAUCUAGCAAGGUUUGUGGCAGAGCGCAGAGUUCCUGGAAAAGCAGACUGCAUGAAGUGCCUAGAAGAG